AGAGUUUGAUCCUGGCUCAGAGCGAACGCUGGCGGCAGGCCUAACACAUGCAAGUCGAACGGACCCUUCGGGGUUAGUGGCGGACGGGUGAGUAACACGUGGGAACGUGCCUUUAGGUUCGGAAUAGCUCCUGGAAACGGGUGGUAAUGCCGAAUGUGCCCUUCGGGGGAAAGAUUUAUCGCCUUUAGAGCGGCCCGCGUCUGAUUAGCUAGUUGGUGGGGUAAUGGCCCACCAAGGCUACGAUCAGUAGCUGGUCUGAGAGGAUGACCAGCCACAUUGGGACUGAGACACGGCCCAAACUCCUACGGGAGGCAGCAGUGGGGAAUCUUGCGCAAUGGGCGAAAGCCUGACGCAGCCAUGCCGCGUGUAUGAUGAAGGUCUUAGGAUUGUAAAAUACUUUCACCGGUGAAGAUAAUGACUGUAGCCGGAGAAGAAGCCCCGGCUAACUUCGUGCCAGCAGCCGCGGUAAUACGAAGGGGGCUAGCGUUGCUCGGAUUUACUGGGCGUAAAGGGAGCGUAGGCGGACAUUUAAGUCAGAGGUGA
rnacentral:rRNA from 2 species